rnacentral:rRNA from 1 species
CCCUUAGAUGUUCUGGGCCGCACGCGUGCUACACUGACCGGCGCAACAAGCUUCUUUCCUUGGCCGAUAGGUCUGGGUAAUCUUUGAACGCUGUUCGUGAUUGGGAUAGACCUUUGCAAUUAUGGGUCUUCAACGAGGAAUUCCUAGUAAACGCAAGUCAUCAGCUUGCAUUGAUUACGUCCCUGCCCUUUGUACACACCGCCCGUCGCACCUACCGAUUGAAUGGUCCGGUGAAAUCUCGGGACGGCGGCUUGGUCGCUUGCGUCCGACUGCUGAAACUUGAUUAAACCAUAUCAUUUAGAGGAAGGUGAAGUCGUAACA